rnacentral:rRNA from 1 species
GACGAACGCUGGCGGCGUGCCUAAUACAUGCAAGUAGAACGCUGAAGAGAGGAGCUUGCUCUUCUUGGAUGAGUUGCGAACGGGUGAGUAACGCGUAGGUAACCUGCCUGGUAGCGGGGGAUAACUAUUGGAAACGAUAGCUAAUACCGCAUAAAAUGGAUUAUCGCAUGAUAAUCCAUUGAAAGGUGCAAAUGCAUCACUACCAGAUGGACCUGCGUUGUAUUAGCUAGUUGGUGGGGUAACGGCUCACCAAGGCGACGAUACAUAGCCGACCUGAGAGGGUGAUCGGCCACACUGGGACUGAGACACGGCCCAGACUCCUACGGGAGGCAGCAGUAGGGAAUCUUCGGCAAUGGACGGAAGUCUGACCGAGCAACACCGCGUGAGUGAAGAAGGUUUUCGGAUCGUAAAGCUCUGUUGUAAGAGAAGAACGAGUGUGAGAGUGGAAAGUUCACACUGUGACGGUAUCUUACCAGAAAGGGACGGCUAACUACGUG